rfam:Mus musculus chromosome 13, GRC primary reference assembly.
CAAAAGGCUCUUUUCAGAGCCCCCUCCUUUGUCACCAAAAAGCGG